rnacentral:ncRNA from 1 species
CACAAAGGUUUGGUCCCGGCCUUACUAUCAACUAUAGCUAGAUUUACACAUGCAAGUAUCCGCACCCCCGUGAGAAUGCCCCCAGCCCCCCGCCCGGGGGCGGGGAGCUGGUAUCAGGCACAAACUUAUUAGCCCAUGACACCUAGCCCAGCCACGCCCCCAAGGGUAUUCAGCAGUGAUAAACAUUAAGCCAUAAGUGAAAACUUGACUUAAUUAAAGCUAACAGGGCUGGUAAAUCUCGUGCCAGCCACCGCGGUUAUACGAAAGGCCCAAGUUGACAGACAACGGCGUAAAGGGUGGUUAAGGCAUACCUCAACAAACUAGAGCUGAACUUCCUCAAGACUGUUAUACGUAUACGAGAAGCAGAAGACCAACUACGAAGGUGACUCUAAGCCUCCUGACACCACGAAAGCUAUGGCACAAACUGGGAUUAGAUACCCCACUAUGCAUAGCCGUAAACCGACAGCCCAAUACAUUGGCUGUCCGCCCGGGUACUACAAGCACGAGCUUUAAACCCAAAGGACUUGACGGUGCUUUACAUCCCCCUAGAGGAGCCUGUCCUAGAACCGAUAACCCCCGUUAAACCUCACCUUUCCUUGCUCGUACCGCCUAUAUACCGCCGUCUCCAGCCUACCCUGUAAAGGACUCAUAGUAGGCAAAAUUGGCAUACCCCAGAACGCCAGGUCGAGGUGUAGCGUAUGGAAAGGGAAGAGAUGGGCUACAUUCAAUGAACCAAUGAAUACGAAUGAUUAAUUGAAACAUUAAUUUAAAGGAGGAUUUAGUAGUAAGUCGGGAAUAGAGAGCCCCACUGAAACCGGCCCUGAAGCGCGUACACACCGCCCGUCACUCUCCCCAAGCAGCCAAUUUAUUCUGUCCCUAAAAGCCAAAGAAUGCUAAGGGGAGGCAAGUCGUAACAUGGUAAGUGUACCGGAAGGUGCACUUG